rnacentral:rRNA from 1 species
UCGUCGGCGCCAUUAAGGUCGAGGUUAUCGCAUAUAAUUUCAACAACGUCAAUUUUUCGAGCAUCAACUUAAAGCCCUAGUCAAGCGACCAGCACGGAGACCAUACAUGACCACAAUGACCAAAGAUGGAAGACUGCUUGGCAGUACAGUAAUUAAACCACACCGCCCCUUAGUCCUGACAAUGAAACUUUUUUAAUCUCACAAAUUUCGUCCGAGCGCGAACUUAUGUAAUCGUACCUUAUUACUUUAUCCUGCAAGCUAGGAUAAAACAACCAAAGAUCCUAACUGCAUUACUAAUUAUCCCUAUCAACCCCCGUAAUCAUAAGUUAACAGUCUCCACUUUAAGAACCUAAAUAACUUCUGAUUGAUGACGCUUUCGUAAACGGUUCCUACAAAAGUAAUUAGUUCUUGCUUUCAAUCCCCUAGCUUCUGCUAGUCUAUGGCAGCAUCAGAAUUGGUAUUUGAUACGGCUGAUCCCUAGCCUACUACAAUAAAAAUUACUGAGU